CUACCUUACGCGUGGGACAGAUUUAUUUUUUGUCCUUGUCGGGCGUUUAGCCAGACACGAAUUUAUUGAGGAUA
rnacentral:sRNA from 1 species